rnacentral:rRNA from 1 species
AGCUGCGAAGGCAUCUUCAGCAGCUGGAAAGAAUUUCGGUCAGGGAUGAGCUCGCGGCCUAUCAGCUAGUUGGUGAGGUAAUGGCUCACCAAGGCGUCGACGGGUAGCCGGCCUGAGAGGGUGACCGGCCACACUGGGACUGAGACACGGCCCAGACUCCUACGGGAGGCAGCAGUGGGGAAUAUUGCACAAUGGGCGAAAGCCUGAUGCAGCAACGCCGCGUGAGGGACGACGGCCUUCGGGUUGUAAACCUCUUUUAGCAGGGAAGAAGCGAAAGUGACGGUACCUGCAGAAAAAGCGCCGGCUAACUACGUGCCAGCAGCCGCGGUAAUACGUAGGGCGCAAGCGUUAUCCGGAAUUAUUGGGCGUAAAGAGCUCGUAGGCGGUUUGUCGCGUCUGCUGUGAAAACUGGAGGCUCAACCUCCAGCCUGCAGUGGGUACGGGCAGACUAGAGUGCGGUAGGGGAGAUUGGAAUUCCUGGUGUAGCGGUGGAAUGCGCAGAUAUCAGGAGGAACACCGAUGGCGAAGGCAGAUCUCUGGGCCGUAACUGACGCUGAGGAGCGAAAGGGUGGGGAGCAAACAGGCUUAGAUACCCUGGUAGUCCACCCCG